rnacentral:rRNA from 1 species
GAUGAACGCUGGCGGCGUGCCUAAUACAUGCAAGUCGAGCGAACAGACGAGGAGCUUGCUUCUCUGACGUUAGCGGCGGACGGGUGAGUAACACGUGGAUAACCUACCUAUAAGACUGGGAUAACUUCGGGAAACCGGAGCUAAUACCGGAUAAUAUUUUGAACCGCAUGGUUCAAUAGUGAAAGACGGUCUUGCUGUCACUUAUAGAUGGAUCCGCGCUGCAUUAGCUAGUUGGUAAGGUAACGGCUUACCAAGGCAACGAUGCAUAGCCGACCUGAGAGGGUGAUCGGCCACACUGGAACUGAGACACGGUCCAGACUCCUACGGGAGGCAGCAGUAGGGAAUCUUCCGCAAUGGGCGAAAGCCUGACGGAGCAACGCCGCGUGAGUGAUGAAGGUCUUCGGAUCGUAAAACUCUGUUAUUAGGGAAGAACAAAUGUGUAAGUAACUAUGCACGUCUUGACGGUACCUAAUCAGAAAGCCACGGCUAACUACGUG